UGGCUCAGAGGGUAAAGCAUCUGCCUGUGAUGCGGGAGACCCAGGUUCAAUCCCUGG
rnacentral:tRNA from 1 species